rnacentral:rRNA from 1 species
UUUAAAUGGCCGCAGUAUAUUAACUGUGCAAAGGUAGCAUAAUCAUUAGUCUUUUAAUUGAAGGCUGGUAUGAAUGGUUGGACGAAAUAUUAACUGUUUCAUUAAAAUUUAAAUUAAAAUUUUAUUUUUUAGUUAAAAAGCUAAAAUUUAUUUAAAAGACGAGAAGACCCUAUAAAUCUUUAUAUUAAAAUUAUUAUAAUGUUAUAAUUUUUUUUUGUUAAAAUAAUUUAUAAUAUUUUAUUGGGGUGAUAUUAAAAUUUAAUAAACUUUUAAUUUUUUUUUUCAUUUAUUUAUGAAUUAUUGAUCCAUUAUUAUUGAUUAAAAAUUUAAGUUACUUUAGGGAUAACAGCGUUAUUUUUUUGGAGAGUUCAUAUCGAUAAAAAAGAUUGCGACCUCGAUGUUGGAUUAAGAGAUAA